GACGUAGGGGACGAGCGUUGUCCGGAUUCAUUGGGCGUAAAGCGCGCGUAGGCGGUUUGGUAAGUCGGAUGUGAAAACACGAGGCUCAACCUCGUGCGUGCAUCCGAUACUGCCCGACUAGAGGUAGGUAGGGGAGAUCGGAAUUCCUGGUGUAGCGGUGAAAUGCGCAGAUAUCAGGAGGAACACCGGUGGCGAAGGCGGGUCUCUGGGCCGUAACUGACGCUGAGGAGCGAAAGCAUGGGGAGCGAACAGG
rnacentral:rRNA from 1 species